UACGUAGGUGGCAAGCGUUGUCCGGAUUUACUGGGCGUAAAGAGUGCGCAGGCGGCUGGUCAAGUCCGAUGUGAAAUCUCCCGGCUUAACUGGGAAACUGCAUCGGAAACUGAUCGGCUUGAAGGUGGGAGAGGGUAGUGGAAUUCCCGGUGUAGUGGUGAAAUGCGUAGAUAUCUGGAGGAACACCGGUGGCGAAGGCGGCUCACUGGCCCGAUACUGACGCUGAGGUGCGAAAGCGUGGGGAGCAAACAGG
rnacentral:rRNA from 1 species